UACGGGAGGAUGCGAGCGUUAUCCGGAUUUAUUGGGUUUAAAGGGUGCGUAGGCGGAUUUGUAAGUCAGCGGUAAAAAUGCGGUGCUCAACGCCGUAUCGCCGUUGAAACUGCGGGUCUUGAGUGAGCGAGAAGUAUGCGGAAUGCGUGGUGUAGCGGUGAAAUGCAUAGAUAUCACGCAGAACUCCGAUUGCGAAGGCAGCAUACCGGCGCUCAACUGACGCUGAGGCACGAAAGCGUGGGGAUCGAACAGG
rnacentral:rRNA from 1 species